AUAUCAAUAAGCGGAGGAAAAGAAACUAACAAGGAUUCCCCUAGUAACUGCGAGUGAAGCGGGAAAAGCUCAAAUUUAAAAUCUGGCGGUCUUUGGCCGUCCGAGUUGUAAUUUAGAGAAGCGUCUUCCGCGCUGGACCGUGCACAAGUCUCCUGGAAUGGAGCGUCAUAGAGGGUGAGAAUCCCGUCUUUGGCACGGAUGCCUGGUGCUUCUGUGAUGCGCUCUCGAAGAGUCGAGUUGUUUGGGAAUGCAGCUCAAAAUGGGUGGUGAACUCCAUCUAAAGCUAAAUAUUGGCGAGAGACCGAUAGCGAACAAGUACCGUGAGGGAAAGAUGAAAAGCACUUUGGAAAGAGAGUGAAACAGUACGUGAAAUUGUUGAAAGGGAAACGCUUGAAGUCAGUCGCGUCGACCGAGACUCAGCCUUGCCUUGGCUUGGUGUACUUCUCGGCCCGACGGGUCAGCAUCAAUUUUGCCCCUCGGAUAAUGGCAGGGGAAAGGUGGCACCUUUACGGGUGUGUUAUAGUCUCCUGUCGAAUGCGAGGGGUGGGAUUGAGGAACUCAGCGCGCACCUCAGUGUCGGGGCUUCGGCCCACGUCACGCGCUUAGGAUGCUGGCGUAAUGGCUUUAAACGACCCGUCUUGAAACACGGACCAAGGAGUCCAACACGCCCGCGAGUGUUCGGGUGGAAAACCCGUGCGCGUAAUGAAAGUGAAAGUUGGGACCUCUGUCGUGGAGGGCACCGACGCCCGGACCAGACCUUCUGUGACGGAUCUGCGGUAGAGCGUGUGUGUUGGGACCCGAAAGAUGGUGAACUAUGCCUGAAUAGGGUGAAGCCAGAGGAAACUCUGGUGGAGGCUCGUAGCGAUUCUGACGUGCAAAUCGAUCGUCAAAUUUGGGUAUAGGGGCGAAAGACUAAUCGAACCAUCUAGUAGCUGG
rnacentral:rRNA from 1 species